rnacentral:misc_RNA from 1 species
GGCGGCAGUAUUUUAACUGCGCAAAGGUAGCAUAAUAAUUAGUUUCUUAAUUAGGAACUGGAAUGAAUGAUUGGACGAGAUAAUAACUGUCUUAAUUUAAAUUUUAGAAUUUUAUUUUUAAGUUAAAAAGCUUAAAUAGUAUUAAAAGACGAGAAGACCCUAUAGAAUUUUAUAUGAGUUUAAUAUUUUAUUAUUAGAAAUUGAAUAUAAAGGAGUUAAAUAAGUAUUUAGUUGGGGUGACUGAAAAAUUUAAUUAACUUUUUUUUAAUUUAAACAUUAAUAUAUGAGUGUUUGAUCCAAUUAUAUUGAUUAUAAGAUUAAAUUACCUUAGGGAUAACAGCGUAAUUUUUUUAGAGAGUUCUUAUCGAUAGAAGAGAUUGCGACCUCGAUGUUGGAGAAGUUAAAAUAUUAGGUCUGUUCGACCUUUAAAACUUUACAUGAUCUGAGUUUAAACCGGUGUGAGCCAGGUUGGAUUCUAUCUUUAAUAAAAUUAAAUAUUUUAGUACGAAAGGACCAAGUAUUUAUUAUAAUAAUUAUUUUUGAAUUAUAUUAUUAUUUUGGCAGAUUAGUGCUUUAAAUUUAGAAUUUAAAUAUGUAAGUGGGUUACAAGUAAUAC